rnacentral:lncRNA from 1 species
AUAAGGGGCACAUUAUCCCUUUCCACAACCGAUGUGGGAUUCAACUCACCCCCUCACGCCCAGAAUUUUUACUGGUGUGUGUCACAUCUAUGGGACGCCCAACAUCGGAUGGGGAGGCUCUGAUACCAUGUUAAAUUUGGGUCAGGCCUAACUCACCCCAAAAGCUAGCUCAAGGGAGAGGAGUGCUUAUAUCCCAUAUAAGGGGCACAUUACCCCUUUCCACAUCCGAUGUGGGAUUCAACAAUAAUAAUAACCAAAAACAACAAAAACUAAGUCUUAAUCCCUGUUGAAUCCCAUAUCGGCUGUGGAAAGGGGUAAUGUGCUCCUUAUAUGGGCCAUAGGCACUCCUCCCCCUUGAGCUAGCUUUUGGAGUGAGUUAGGCCUGGCCCAAAUUUAACAUGGUAUCAGAGCCUCCCAUCCGAUAUUGGGCGCCCCAUAAAUGUGCCACGCACUAGUAAAAAUUCUGGGCGUGAGGGGGUGUGUUGAAUCCCACAUCGGCUGUGGAAAAGGGUAAUGUGCCCCUUAUAUGGGGCAUAGACACUCCUCCCCCUUGAGCUAGCUUUUGGGGUGAGUUAGGCCUGGCCCAAAUUUAACAAUCCCAAAUUAGUUGGAGUUAGCUAUAAGAAUUUUUUUAAUAUUCAGUGCAUUUGAAACCAAUUCUACAGCCAUAUCCAAAAAUGAUAAAUUUUUUGAACAACAAAAAGAAUAAAAUUUGAAGCAAUUUUUAGGUUGCAUUGUCAAUUUGUAAUGAUUUUCACCCAACUUUAUUAUGCACAUUGCCAAGUUAUGCUCCUGCUAAUGCAACUGAUAGAGAAAUCUGCACGAAGUUCUACUUUCACAUUGUCAGACGACAUGGCAGCUAUCACAUACCCUUACAGUUGUAAACCUUGUAUUACUAUUACUGCUAUGAAAAAAAAUCCCCUUACUUCCCUCAGAAAAAUACAGUUUUCUUGAGGUCAAUUAUCUAUAUCCCCUCUUGAACUUGAGUAAUCUCUUUAUAAAGCUAGAUGGCAAGAAAUCAAAUCUUACAGAUGAAACAAUAGCCUCUUCACUCUGUGUUAAAGGUGCUAGAAGUGUUUGCACAUCUGAUUGCACAUUUGUUUGUCCAUGUGAUGCAGCACCAGAUUGGCCUUCCAAUUUCAACUUUUGAACUCUAACCCCAAGAAUAUGAUUAAAAGCUGCCAGCGCACGACCACGAUGCAAAUGGUGCUCAAGCCCAUGUCCAGUUUCCUGAAGUCAAUGCACCCAUCAGAUAAUAAGCACUGUAAGUGACAAUUGAGGAAACAAAAGUAGAACAGAAUGUAUUAAAAAUCUCAUCAAACAAACCAGUCACCAUCAGCAAAGAUAGACUCCACAACACCUCCAAUCACAGAUUCUUCUGUUUACUACAUUACAAAUUUUUAUUUAUCCAGUGACAUUGGCCUUCUUAUCAACAACUGUUACUUUAAUCUGCUCCCCAACAUACGUACCAAAUCUCAUGUCCUUUUCCUAGCAUGAAAUUUGGGCUGACCAUGAAAGUCUAGCUAUUCAGUUUUAUAAAUUUUACAUGAGUCUCAUCUUGCAAAGGUACAGUUGUCAUGCUAACCGGCAAUCUUCAAGAACAUGAGCAUACCUAAAAUAUCUUCUUACUAACUUUCCAAGAGAAACUGCACUGAAAGAUCAUGCAACAGCACAGCUGUGUCACUUGAGCAUUGUAUAACAGAUUUUCAGCACAAAUUUACUUAUCCUAAGUAGAAAACAAGGAACCAGUCUACAAAGUACAAGGGCUUUGAGUUCACUUAACCUGUACGUUGCAUCGGAAGAAAAGCAUUUUCCUAAAGAAAAAUAGUAUAGAAUCUUUUCCCUCACAUAUAAAACUGACUUAUGAGGAACCAACUAAUUAUGAUACUUGCUCUUAUUUAAUCAUAUCAUUAGCGUAAUAGAAAUAAUAAUAGUGCUUUAAAAAUAAAGAAAGGGUUGCCUACUCUCUUCAAAAUCACCAGCAUAUCAAGCAUCAGCAUUGCAGUUAACAAAAUCUCAUUGCCAUUAGACCUGUGCCCUUGGCAUUUCAAAAUACCAUACUCACACCAAAGCUGAAUGCUUUGAAGAAAACUCAAGUAUAUAUAUCUACAAUGUGCAUACAUACAAGAUUGUUAAAUUAAAUAUAAUGAUAAACAUGAAUUAAGUUAUGAGGAGAGAACGAUGCAGAUACCUCAAGUGAGGAGUCAUACAGUUCCUCUUGGACAUGCUUUUGUAUUGUUGCUUCCCAGGAUACAGCACUUAUCUCAGUAUGUUCAUCAGCGUGUAUGUAAAAGUCAAUUUCUCUAUCUAACAGAGAAUCCCCUACAGGCAGACCUGAGAAUGAUUGCCAUCCAAGCGGACCCUACAGUAUUUUGAAUUUCAUCACGAUUCUCAGCAUUUCUGAUGUAUAUGAAUUUAUGAACAUUACCAUUUAGUCAAAGCAAAAUUAGUAAGGUGUUCCUAGCUUGCAUCAACAUAAGAUGAGGAAAUUUAGAACUUUGGCACAAAAAAUAACAUCGCAUUAUUGACCAAAUAGAUCCAAAGUUUAGUCAAAACUUCAAUUGCAACCAAUUCUUUACCGGUAUCUACAUUUAACAUGUCCAUCAAUUGUCGCUAGCCUGAGAUAGUCUUAGGCUAGAUGUGCUAUUGCAUAUCUAAAGUUUAACUAGAGCAUAUUCAAAUGUAAUAGUACUAAAACACGUUAGUGCAGAUGCAACCAGAGGAAAAAGGGGCAAAAACUUGCACAAAUGCUGCAAGAAAAGGAACAAGUAAACAGGGGAGGGGAGUGAUUCUUGCAGAAAGAGACAGAUAUGGACAAAAUAGGUGCUAAUAAUGCAGGAAAAUGUAGAGGUAGAGAAGCCAAUUUUUAGUAGAAGUGCAACCUCAAAACAGAUUUAGAGUGACUUUGCCGACAAUUAAUAUGUUUAUCUUACAGUUCCGUAUAAUUGACCAAACUUGAAAUAAGUUGAAGUUUAUGUAUACAAUUAUUCUGACUAAAUUUAAAAACCUUUAGUUAUUGGUCCUAAUACAAUAUCCAUCAUAGCUAGCAAGCAGAAAAUUAAUUAUAAAGCAUCCAGAAAAAAAAAUCAGAUGGAUAUUAGAGAAUGAAAAGACCUGGAUAUAAAGCUGAAUUAACCUCCGGACAGUUUUGGGAAACCAGCAUGGCAGCAUUUGUAGAAGUGAAGUAUCACGUGCAGAAGAGAAGAAGAUAUUGUCGCGCCAACACAAAUAGUUUGACAGUGCUGGAUUUCAAUGUACAUAAAUUAAACAUUGCAAUUGAAAGAACAUGCAAGAAAACUAAAGAUCAUCCAGCUGACUUAUGUGCACGCACAAAUAUAAUUAAAAUAAUAUAAGGUUACCACCAACCAUUAUUUGCCCUAGAAACCAAUAAAUUUGAUGUAUCUUGUCCAACACUUGCUGCUACAAGUGUGCGCCACAAUGUAGGAAAGCGUUGCAAAGUGGGCCUAAGGUUUUCCAAUGUGCAUUGAGCUGUGGAGCUACUAAGCCUUGAAACAGUGCCACUACUUAAGCAAUUUUGAAUUGGAAUAGAGGCAUACAUCAGAGUUGCUAAAGCUGCCAUUUCACCUGCUCCUUCAGCAAUAUCAUCAACAGUACGAAUUAUCUCAUCGAUGUCCAGAACACUGAGGUUGCUAUCACGAGACAUUAUAGCCCGAGCAUUACAAAAUGAUGCAUCAUAUUCAUGGCCUUUGAUUCUAGAUAGAAGCAACCAUCUUGCCCAUUGGCAAUCUCCCUGAACAGAAAAGUAAAUAGAAUAAUGACGCAAGUGCAAGCACAACAUAUUUAAAACAAUCAACAAGCCAUGUCGCAUUAAUAAAUAUAUGUAUAAAUAUAUAUAUAAUUGUGUAUAUGAUAUCAGUAUCAGUCAGGAUCAGAUCCAUCAUGAUGACCAACACAUAAAAAGAAGGGAUUUGCGUCACAAGAAUAGAUCAUAUAAAGGAGACACAAGCUUAAUCAAGAUAAACCUUUUUCAUAAAAUAGUAAGACAAAUUUCUAACCAUAAUUUCGCCUAUAUAAACUUCAAUUUGUAUCUGCCAAUAUUCAUUUCAAUAAGAUCAUUAUUACUAAGUUUUUGGUAGAAUUUCAAUCAGACGUUUGACGUGAUAACAAAGUAAAAUUUUUUCUCAUCUAGAUUUACAGUUAAAAACAACCUUUACGAAUCUCACUAAGUCGAAACAUCAAAAACUUGUAAAAUAUCCACAUAAACAAAUUGAUAAUGGUAAUCCUUUUAAAAAUUGAAGUUGGAUAUUUUAGUGAUACAAAUUGAAGUUUAGCAAUUGUGCUAAAAUUUAAUAACAAAUUCAGUGACCAUGGCUGAUAUUCACCCAAACUUGGGAGAUACAAUGUCACGUGUUCAACUAAAUUGGAAAAACUACACCUAUCUAAUGCAAUAUGAUUUGGAAGAAAGAAAAGCUGAAGAGAGGAACAAUUUGCAAUCUGGAGCACAUACUGUGCAGUUUGUCACAGUCAUAAUUCCCAUGUGGUAGGAACUAGGAAAUGCAUAUAAUUAGUUCGUGGGAGAAAAUUAUAUUCCCAAGCAAAAUCUGUGUUCUGAAACAGUUCCAAAAUUAGAAGAAAGCCCUUCUCUUCUUUUCAAGAAGGAAGCCUAACUAAAAGAGUGAAAUCAGGCCAUGCUGACAUAGCAUAGAACAUUUCAUACAUUAAUGCUCCUAAUUUAUCCUCCAAAUAACAGAAGAAGUUGAUAAAAUCAUAAUUAAGGCAUAUGAAGAACAAAGUUGGGUACCAUGAAGUACAUGUGCUUCGUCCUAACGUAACACACUUUAACUUUGACAGUUUUACAUCUGCAGCAAAUGAGUAAAACAAUACAACAAUUAACCUGUUUCGAAGUUGUGCUGUUUUUAGUUCAGCAAUAGUGUUGAACAUUGUUAUAAGUUAUAGAAAGUAAAUAUGUUAAUAUAGGAAGUAAAUAUGGAUAGAUGGGUUAGUUGCUUAAUCUUAGGGAUUGUAUAAUCAUAGAUUUGAUUUUCUUUCCUAUUUAGAUACCCUCUCUCAUGUAUAAAUAGAUUGUAAUCUCUAUUGUGAAAUAUAACAAAUAUUAUCCUUCUACAUGGUAUCAGAGCCUUUCUCGUAGAGAUUUAAUUUUUCUCUCCCGUCAAAGUUUUUUUUAAGAAAAAAAAAAAAAAAAAUUUUGGAGACUUAGGGCUCUGUUUAUUUGGGUUACCCAUAACGGGUAAUAUUUGGAUCUCACCAUCGCUAGAGUCGCCACAUCGUUCCCUUGUCAGAUCUGAGGUUUAUUUGCCAUUCGGGUUUUGGGGGAGGUGUUUUUAUCGGUACUGUUCAUCGGACUGUUCACGGGUACUGUUCACGAGUACUGUUCAUCGACACUGUUCACGUGGUACUGUUCACGUGGUACUGUUCAUCGGUACUGUUCACGUGGUGCUGUUCACGCCGGGUACUGUUUUCUGAUUCUGUGUUUCUUUUGUUGCUGUCGUUUUGGGUUUGUUGUCAUGGUUGAAGUGAAAACCACCACCGUAACUGAUGUGAUUCCUAUGAUGACUAAAAUCACGGAACACAAAUUGAAUGGAUCUUCCAAUCAAGGAAUUUUGAUAUCUGCAGAUGAGUAUGCACAAUUCGUCCAAUACCAGGCAUCUCUAAAAUCCUCUAAUUCCUCCUCUAUCACUGCAAUUGCCGAGUCAGGUAACUCUACUACAUGUCUUGUGUCUUCAUCCUCAAAAUGGGUUAUUGAUUCUGGUGCUACCGAUCAUAUGUCAGGUAAUUCUACCCUUUUGUCCAAUCUUGAGUCUCGUACAUCGCCUUCUUAUGUUACUCUUGCUGAUGGCACUAAAUCUUCUGUCAUUGGUUCUGGUCAUGUCAACUUAACCCCUUCUCUUUCUGUAUCCUCUGUGUUAUGUCUCCCUAAGUUCGCAUUUAAUUUGCUUUCCGUUAGUAAACUCACUCGUGCAUUGAAUUGUUGUGUCUCAUUCUUUCCUGAUCACUGUGUUUUUCAGGAUCUUUCGACGAAGCAGAUUAUUGGUAGAGGGAGUGAGUCAGAGGGUCUUUACGUCUUGGAUCAGCAACUACCUCGAUCUCCUCGAUCUCUGGUAUGCUCCACGCAUUUAACACCUUUUGAUGUUCAUUGUCGUUUGGGGCAUCCUUCUCUCUCAGUUUUAAAGAAGUUAUAUGCACAGUUUCAUUCUUUGUCUACUCUAGAUUGUGAGUCUUGUCAAUUUGCCAAACAUCAUCGUUUACCUACACUGCCUCGAGUCAAUAAACGGGCUUCGUCCCCCUUUGAGUUAGUACAUUCAGAUGUUUGGGGUCCUUGUCCUGUUGUGUCUAAGUCUGACUUUAAGUAUUUUGUUACUUUUGUUGAUGAUUUCUCUCGUACUACUUGGUUAUUUUUAAUGAAGAGUCGUUCAGAAUUAUUUUCUGUUUUUUGUGCAUUUUAUGCUGAAAUCCAAACCCAAUUCAAUACUUCCAUCCGUAUAUUGCAAAGUGAUAAUGCUAAAGAGUAUCUCUCUGGGGAAUUUCAAUCUUAUUUGUUACAAAAAGGGAUUCUUCAUCAGUCAUCUUGUGUUGCCACUCCUUCACAAAAUGGAGUUGCUGAAAGAAAAAAUCGACAUCUUCUUGAAGUAGCCAGAGCUCUCUUAUUCCAAAUGAAGGUACCUAAAUGUUUUUGGGUUGAUGCUGUAUCCACUGCUUGUUUUUUGAUCAAUCGCAUGCCUUCCUCCAUCCUUCAUGGUGAUAUCCCUUAUAACAUUUUGUUUCCCACUAAAUCUUUGUUUCCUAUUGAGCCACGUAUGUUUGGUUGUACAUGUUUUGUUCGUGAUGUUCGUCCACAGGUUACUAAAUUGGAUCCUAAAUCACUCAAAUGUGUCUUCCUUGGCUACUCUCGACGUCAGAAAGGGUAUCGUUGUUUUUCUCCUGAUCUGAAUCGGUAUCUUGUGUCUGCGGAUGUAACAUUCUUUGAGUCCACUCCAUUUUUUCCGCCAUCAUCUGUUUAUAACACCGAGGGGGAGGAAGAUGACCUCUUGUUAUACACUGUUCGCUCUUUGUCUCCUCAAACUACUCCUACACCUUUCGCUCAUGUGCCAGGUCGCCCUCCCAUCUUUCAUGUGUAUUCCAGACGCUUAGAGGACUCUGACUCCGUUCCGCUACCUGCUUCUUCGUCGACAGAUCCUGCUCCCACUGAUCCUUCACCGUCUGAUUUGGAUUUGCCCAUUGCUCUUCGCAAAGGUAAACGUACUUGCACUUAUCCUAUUUCAUCUUGUGUCUCUUAUGAUCAAUUAUCCUCCUCUUCUCGUUGUUUUGUCACUGCUUUAGAUUCUAUUUCAAUUCCCAAAACUGUUAUUGAGGCUUUGUCCCAUCCUGGUUGGCGUGCUGCAAUGGAAGAGGAAAUGAUGGCCCUUGACACUAAUGGUACUUGGGAGUUGAUGUCCUUGCCCCCAGGAAAGCGGGCUAUUGGGUGCAAAUGGGUGUUUGCAGUAAAAGUAAACCCUGAUGGAUCUAUUGCUCGCCUCAAGGCCCGUUUAGUGGCCAAAGGUUAUGCACAAACUUAUGGAGUUGACUAUUCUGAUACAUUCUCUCCAGUUGCCAAGCUCGCAUCUGUCCGAUUGUUUAUUUCCUUGGCGGCUACUCAUGAUUGGCCCUUGCAUCAACUGGAUAUUAAAAAUGAUUUUCUUCAUGGUGAUCUUCAGGAGGAGGUUUAUAUUGAGCAACCACCUGGUUUUGUUGCUCAGGGGGAGUCAGGUAAGGUUUGUAGACUUCGAAAAUCCCUUUAUGGCUUGAAACAGAGUCCUCGAGCAUGGUUUGGCAGGUUUAGUGAGGUGGUCCAACAGUUUGGAAUGAAGAUGAGUAAGUGUGAUCACUCAGUGUUUUAUAGAAAUUCUGAUAGUGGAGUAAUUCUGCUUGUAGUAUAUGUGGAUGAUAUCGUUAUUACAGGAAGUGACAUUGCUGGCAUCACAUCCCUAAAAGAAUUUCUUAAAACACAGUUUCAUACAAAGGAUUUGGGUUCCUUGAAAUAUUUCUUGGGAAUUGAAGUUAUGCGGUGUAAGAAAGGCAUCUUCUUAUCUCAAAGAAAAUAUUUUCUUGAUUUGUUGGCAGAAACAGGAAAAUUGGGUGCUAAGCCUUGUAGUACCCCAAUGACCCCUAACCUUCAACUUACCACAGAAGACAGUGAGCCAUUUGCAGAUCCUGGAAGGUACAGAAGAUUAGUUGGUAAGCUGAAUUAUUUGACUGUGACUCGUCCUGAUAUUGCAUAUUCAGUGAGUGUGGUAAGUCAGUUUAUGUCCUCUCCUACUGUUGCCCAGUGGGAUGCUCUGGGACAGAUUCUUUGUUACCUUAAAGGGGCCCCAGGACGAGGCCUAUUCUAUGGUAACCAUGGGCACUCAAAUAUUGAAUGCUUUUCUGAUGCUGAUUGGGCAGGCUCGAAAGUUGAUAGGAGGUCAACUACUGGGUAUUGUGUUUUUGUGGGAGGUAAUUUGGUCUCAUGGAAAAGUAAAAAGCAAAAUGUGGUCUCCCAUUCUAGUGCUGAAUCUGAAUAUCGAGCCAUGGCACAAGCCGUUUGUGAAAUCUUGUGGGUACGUCAACUGUUGGAAGAAGUUGGGUUUUCAAAUUCGGUGCCUGCUAAGUUGUGGUGUGAUAAUCAAGCAGCUAUCCACAUUGCCUCCAAUCCAGUAUUUCACGAGAGGACCAAACACAUCGAGAUUGAUUGUCAUUUUGUUCGUGAAAAGGUUCAACAAAAGAUAAUAUCAACAGAACAUAUCCGAACUGGAGAACAAUUAGGAGAUAUUUUUACUAAAGCUCUAAAUGGAACUCGAGUCGAUUAUAUAUGUAACAAGUUGGGCAUGAUUAACAUUUAUGAUCCAACUUGAGGGGGAGUGUUAUAAGUUAUAGAAAGUAAAUAUGUUAAUAUAGGAAGUAAAUAUUGAUAGAUGGGUUAGUUGCUUAAUCUUAGGGAUUGUAUAAUCAUAGACUUGAUUUUCCUUCCUAUUUAGAUACCCUCUCUCAUGUAUAAAUAGAUUGUAAUCCCUAUUGUGAAAUAUAACAAAUAUUAUCCUUCUACAAACAUCACCCUUUCAAAGCAGGGUGAUAGAGACUUUAAAAUGUAUCUGGAAUAUCAUUGCAUGUGUCAUUAUGAGUCAAUAGAUUACAGUUAUAUAUAGGCUCUGAAUAUAUUUGAUGCCAUUAGCUGAAAAUAACAAACUAUUUAGAAUAAGUCAAUAGAGCAUUAGACUGCAGAAUACACUUUAAAACAAGCAGCUUCAAAGGCACAAGCAAACGGCAUUAACAAUUUUCAGUAUAUAUUUAAUUGCUAUCUCUAGUGAAUAUCUAAUAAACUAUUUACUCAUCAAAUGAACCUGCAAAAGUUAGACAAUACUAAAGCAAAAUACAAAAUCAGAGAACGGUAAGACUCACUAGAUGUGAGGAAACUUACUGCAGCUUCCUGUAACAAGUAAAGUGAAUCAUUCUCCCUGGCCAAUUUGUGAUGUUCAAGAUAAAGGUCCAAAAGGUUUGGCAAGUUAUAUUGCACACAAUGAUGCACCAGUAAUUUAUCCAAAGCUUGUGUUGUAUCAACAUGAAAGUUUCCACCAUCUGAUAUAUUCAGAUCAGAUGAAAGUUUCACAGAAUAAUCCUCUGAUGACAUUCUAUUAGGCCUGCUAGUGAUGAAGCCUGAACGAGCUAGUAGAGCUACAAUAUCUUCAGUGCCUUCCCAAUAAUCCUUCAAAAAAAUAUAUUUCUUAGCAAGCUCCUGUUCCAUGAGCAUCCUUAACCAGAUGGUGCACAUAACAUCAACAGAAAGCCUUAAUAUUUUGACUCCUGGAACAUCAAUGCAAACAGCAUCCACUUCUUCAAUGGAGCAUAUAUAAUUACUGUAGUCUGGAAAUUCACUGCUGCAUCCAAUAUCAGGUGCAUGUUUUGAGCCAUCUAAAGUGAUCUGGAGGCUUCCAUGUGAUACUACAGAUGAAGGAAUGAGAUCCAUAAGUUUAAAAACUUCAUCCCAGUCAUUAUGGCCCAAAUAAUAUUCCAGUUGAGACUCCCACAAUACAUGAACACCCAUGAGGAAAGGUUGAUCCAGAACUAUCUGCAUAGUAAGAAAAUAGUCAAGGAAAAUAAGCUUAGUGCCUAUAUUUGCAGUAGAAAAAGAAAAAAUGUCAUGUCGUUUGGCACAUGCUACAAGAAUUCAACACAGGAACAUGCCACAGGAAGACACGGUUACAGACCAUAGUUACCUAAAUCAUGGUACAGGUACGGGGUAUGCAGUAUGCCAAUGAAUGAAUUAUAGAAAACGUAGGGGGGUAGGCUUAACAGAGCACUAAUUUAAUUUGGGACAUGUAAAUUAUGUUUAUGCAAUGUAAUAUAAUGUUUACAUAAUUAAAUAUAUGACUAAUAGUUGAUAAUAAUUAUAUUUUCUAAAAAACAUUUUUAAGUUUAACUAAUAAAAUAGUAAUUUAUACUCCCAAAUUAACAUUGCCACCUAUUCCACGACCAUUUAAAUUUACUAGUUGUACCUCACUUAAAAUGUUUUAAAAUAUAUUUCUUCUUUUUACUUUUUCUUUGUUAUAGCUCUUCCAUCUUUUUAUUUCUUGUUGGAACCUCUAUUUUAUUGACUUUAUUCACGUAUACCAAUAAUUUGGGAUGCAAAAGUAUCGCAUUUCGGUUCGAAGUACCCAGAACGCAGUUCACAGGAGGGUUGAGAAUAUGGGCAGGUGACAAGUCCUAUCUUACUUCAAUAAGGUUUCAGCAAAACAUGGUGUAUUCAGAAAGAAAUCAAAGAAAAGCAAAAAAAAAAAAAGAAAAAAGAAAAAAAGAGAAGAGAAAGAGACUUACACGAUCAAUGGUCCUCUGAUCCCAGGCACUAGACCACACUGCUGCAGCAGUCCAAUAUCCGGCAUGAGCAGUAUCUUCAUCAACCACAGGGUCACAAUAAUCUUCCUUGAUGCUUGUCCAUGGACCUAGAACAACACCAUCAAUCUCACCACAUUCAAUGGUAAGAUUGCUAAAUAAAUGUGGACAUAAUAAGUGCAGCUUAAUUUCUCCAGGUGACUUUAAAGUCAACAUAGCACCCAUCAAUGCCUUCUGCCGACCAAUAAAAGUUUUCCAGAAACUACUGCUAGGGUACAGCCUCUUUCCAGCAAGAAAGAAAAAAGAAAAGCCUUAUCAGAGCAUGAAAUCAAAAUUUAAGGCACAGCCACUUGUAAAAAUAUAAUGCAGCAGACAACUGUAGAAUACCUCUAUUAAUGAUAUCUUCUCCAAUAUCUUCCACUCAUAUGGUCCCAGGUAACCAUAUUUUCUCACCUCUUCUGCAACUUGAAUCCGAAUAGAUCUCCUUACAGUGCCAAAUAAUAACUGCUUGAGGCAGGUUUCAAUGUCUUCUCCGAGCCUUUGUAAUGUUGCAAUUGCAUGUCCAGUUUCACCCUGUCAAACACACAUGAUUAAUGCAGCUACAUAUAUUUAUCUCAGAACACUGCUAGGUACACUGGCAUGCUAUAACCCAGUAUUCUAAUGCACCAACUUUUUAUUACAGAAUUUUCAUAACAUUCAUUCACGUCCUGUAUUUGGCUUAUUCAGGUUCUGUAAUUUACCCUUGUCAUUCACUUUUGGUAAUCAUAUUCCUAUUAAUUCUCACUUUCUGUAAUUAUUACACGUAGUAACUACACCAAGUGUUUUUGUUUACCAUAACGCAAGCAAACAAAAAUAAGCUACCUUCAGAAAUAGGUCAUAAGCAAUGGCUCUUCCAAUGUCACGAACUUCACUAAAGGUAUCAGAAGGAUCUUCAUCAGUGUCCAAAUCUCUUGAACGAUGAAGAUGUAAUUGAAGAACAGCUGAUGGAAGUCGGCCAGAGAUGAGAGCAUCUUUAACUACAGUUUUAAGAUCAAAAUUUUCUAAUUUCCAUCGGGCAAUCAUCUCCUUGGGAUUUUCCAAUGGAAAGUUUUUCUUUCCCAAAUUUCCAGCUUGAGGCACAAAUAUAGAUAUUGCAGUUGAGUCAUCUUGAUCCAAAUCAGCACCAGAAACCAAUGCAUCCUUGGACAUCAAAGCAAGUUUUUCGCCCUUGGAACCCACAGAAGAUACAGAAAUUGAAAGUUCUUGUUGGUUUACCGUCUCCAAGGAAACAGUAUUUUCUGGAAAAACUGAAAACUGAGCUUCAUCCUCUGACAAAACUGAGUCCACCGAAUUUAUCGCUUCACCACCAUCUAUCUAUAACAUUGAGAAAGUUUACAUGGUAAGCAACAGAUAAGAAGCAAAAAAAUUUCACAAUAUGUUUUCAGCACACACAAUAGCAUACCAAUCCCUGGCUAGGCUUUUUGAAUUUUGCUCCAAGUCGAUAUUGCAGAUUCCUAAUGAUCUCCAAAAAACGAGCCAUAUCACAAAGCCUUUUUGAGUCCGCCAUUUCACUUUGUACUUGAUCUGAUAUAACUGAAGGAAGAGAGAGAAAUCGGGUCUUCCUAAAACCAAGUAGCAAGCCAUUUUUAUGUUGCAGUAACCCAAAUUUUCUAAUCAUCUUGGUUGUGAAGCAAGUGGCCAAUGCAAGAACCCUGUAAUACAGAUUUCACAAAGGAAAAAAGAAAAAAGAAAAAAGAACAAAAAGAAGUAACCAGUAGUUAAACAGCAGCCAACAAUGAACUUCCUGACACCCAUAAAAAAAAGGAAACUGAACUAUCAAUCAUAUCUUAAGACUUGAAUUAAGAGCGAAAAUUUGACCCAAAAAAAAGGAAUUAAGAGCGAAAUUGAUGUUACUGCAGUACUCACAGAGAAGACAAAAAAGGGAAGAAAGUGAAAUAUGAUACCAACUACAUGCAAAGGCAAAUGGAAGAAAAUCACAGUUUGCUUGACCACUUCCUUGGCCUCAAAAAUUUGUGAAAUGACCCUUUAGCAAAUGUGCAGACUAAGAUGGGUUCGCAAAUCACAAUGCAACAUUUUUAGUCAACUAUACAGAGGCAAAUGCAACCCCAGUCCCCAGCACUUUCCAGUUCAAGCUAACCAGCCAAUUUAAGAAUGGACAAAGAUAUAAAAACGAUAUAUUAUUAGGUGAAAAUUAAAAUGUUCACCAUGUAACCAUCAAUCCUAUAUAAGCAAAACAAAAAAAUCAGAAAAACCUGGAGGCUUGAUCUACACAGGGUUUAAGUAUGUAACUGAAAUAAACCAAUAUCUACAUUACAAAACAGAUUCAUAUGUAUCAAUAUCAAGAAAUAUAGUCAGAUUAUAAAAAAUAAAAUAAUGUAUAAAAUUUGCAGAUCAAUCUACAUAACCCUAGUAAAAAUCUUGACCAAGCCAGCUUGCAUAGCUUGCUAUUUAUCCACUUUGUAACUGACCAAAGAAAAUUCCACAGCAUAGUUAUGAAAAUCAAAUAAAUCUGGUAAAAUGGUUUACCUUGAUGCAGCAGAAACGUCAAUGUCACUGCCAUUUCUGUUACACAUCAGAUAAACAGCAGCAAAGAGCAAUCUCAAAAUGCCUUCUUCUGCCAGACUGACGUCCACAAGCAUUUUUAGAGAUCUGUUACACCACCCAAAAAGUCAAAGAACCCAUUACUCUACAACUAGAACCAUAACCAAGAUGCCACAUCAAAAAAGCCAUUUUGUUUGUUACUUGUUUUACCCAUUAUAAAAUCUCAUGUAGGGAAAAUGUCCGCUAGAAUUUAAUAUGCUUCCAGUAGAUUAACUUUUAAGAAUACACAGUUAAAAAGGAAAAAAGACAACUUGUUACCAUUGAAGCAGAAUAAUUCCAAAAUUAAAUGUCUUUUCUUUGUAUUUCAAUCAGAGAUAUGGAGCAGGAGAACAUAUUAACAAGGAAACAGCAUCCUCUUCAAUGUAGGAAUAAAUAAGCAUAAGGAUUUUUUAACAAAAUAAAUAAACAAAUAAAACAAUCAUGAACAAUAAAGACACCUCGCAAUGACAAAAAGCUGAAAACCAUAGCCGAUAGAGAAUUUAAAAAUUUCAGUCUCAUAAGAUGCUAUAUACAUAAGGAUAAGUGUAAAAGUAUCUAUAAAAUAAACUUUUGAGUGAAAAAAAAUAAAGUACCAACAUUGAGGUCUAAUAUUCUAUGUGAAAUCCUAUUUCCCAUGUGAUACAAUAUUACAAAUUUACUAAUACAGAAGCAUAGUUUAUAUAAUAAAAGAAGAAGAAGAAUAAAGAGAAAAGAGGACAAUGUGCUCCACCAACAGUGAAGCUAAUAGUUGUACAUAUCUGACUUUAGCUCUAAUUAGAAGUGCACUUGUCACAUGAAAAAUAAAGGUUAAAUGCUAAAUCCUUAAAAUCGUCAAAAGAUUUAUUUAUGAAAUUUUUCCUGGUAUUUUUAUUUUUAUUUUUAUUAAAAAGGAUAAGUUACAAAACCUCUUUGAGUUCAGAGAAAAAGAUUUUAUUCCUUUGAAAUUUCCUUACAGUCUAUUGCUUUAACUAAAAUAAAUUUAUAAUUUUUUUUUUUUUGUUUUCAUAUAUCAAUUGCCACUGUUCUUACAAAUAUUACACAAAAUUAAUUAUACUCAACAAGAGCUUCUUGAGCACUUGAUUUUCAAGAUCUUGUGAAAAAAUUAGUACAAAUUAUCGAAAGGAAAAAUCCUGUUAGUGUUCAAAUUCUCAUAUUUUUAAAUGAUAUCUCAUGCAUUGAGGUUUUAGUCACCAAAGGAAAUUACCUUAAUACAAUCAUUUAAUAUAUUCACAUAUUAUGUAAUUUUCAAUCACAUGCAACACACAUGAAAAAUUUGCUAAGAAUUGUAAAGGGAAGUACUCUUUGCCUCCUUUUUCCUUCUAGAUAAACCUUAAAUUUACUGGAUGGUAAACUUUCCAAUCUCAUGGGCACAUCACAUAAACCAUAGAACCAAAGAGCCAAUCCAAGUGUAAUUGUUGAUAAAUCUGACCAGGGUCAACUCCACUCCGAAAUGCAUCUUAUGGAGGGCGGAUUGCCCAACCAUUGUUGUUAGAAUCUUAUGAUUCUAUUCAAUUCGUACAAUUAGAUUCAAUUAUCCAUUCUAGCAAUUUGAAUCUAUGGGGUGAAUUGUUAAUACACCUAAAUUGUGACCGAAUUGAAUGUAUUGUUUAUUAUAAAGCAUACUCCUAAUUAAUUCUAUAUUCAUCAGAUAUGUCAAUGUAAUAUUUUUUACUUAUUCUUUAGUAAAUAUAGUAUUUUAAUUAAUGAGAAUUUUUUGAAUCUUGUAAUUUGAUCUGAUUCUUGAUUCACAAAAUGAAAAUUCUCAUUUCAGAACUCAAUCUAACAAUUAUGUACCAAGUCACACGACAAGCAGUUUGCCCACCUACACAGCUGAUGUGGAAUCUUAAGACACACCCCUUACACCAAGACAUAAAAUAUAAGGCAUGAAGUCUGCAGGAACAAACAUCUGCAAGUGGCCUGAUAUCAAUACUAGAGUUGACUCUGAUACCAUAAGAAGAAGAAGAAGAAGAAGAAACAGAGAAGAGAUCGGGAGAAAAAAAGCUGGCUGGUUCACUCAAGCCUUUAGGCAUAUAAAUAUACUGUUACAUGUAAACAGAAAUAUUUUACACACUUACAGCACUCACACACAUUUGCAAGCAUAAAGAUAGCACUCAAUUCGGAGCUAGCAUUCCAAGAAUAACCACAAACAACUCGAUGUAAAAAAUAGAUUAAAAGACUUACUACUACAAUAUGUAACCUGAAUGAAAUGCCUAAUUUGUUUUUCCCAACUGCAAUAAAUUAUUAGUACCAAUAUGAUUGAGAACCACUAACCUAAAGGUCCUUAUUUUGGAAGAUCUUUAGAUUUCCAAAUGAAAAGGUGAAAUAUAAAGAAAAGCAAGUUAGAUACACAGAAAAAGAUUGCAUGAGGAUACCCCCAAAAUUAUCCAAAGCCCAAAUGCUGGUAGAGCCCCAACCAGAAGAUAGACAAAAAGAUUCAAGGAUAUAAGAUAAUGAAGCAAGACCUAAUAACCCAUCAUCUAGAUUUUUGUAAGAAUUUCUAAGAAAUUGAAUAUCCAUCUAUAAUGAGAAAAUUAAAAAUGUAAGCCUAAUGGUUCAUGUGCAAAUGAUUUGGAAAUAAUGCUAUAGUGAUUCCAAACAAAUAUAUUAGCAAUUUCCAACUACAUAACGUUAUACUAUUUGUUGCUGUGUUUCUCCUGCAGCUCUUCACUCAAAAGUACAUGCACAAGUAAUAUAAAAGUCUUGUUCAGCAUUUGCUUUAGGUGCAUUCAUAUAUGCGCAAGCACAUGUGCAUAGAUCUAACCAUCAUGUUGCACCAUGCAAGCAAGCACUUAAUUUUGGUAAUGAAGCUCAAAUAUACCAACUUAAAGACAUAAAAUCAAAAGGCAAACUACAAUGGGUAUC